AAUGGGCGCAAGCCUGAUCCAGCAAUACCGCGUGUGUGAAGAAGGCCUGCGGGUUGUAAAGCACUUUCAGUUGGGAAGAUAAUGACGUUACCAACAGAAGAAGCACCGGCUAACUCCGUGCCAGCAGCCGCGGUAAUACGGAGGGUGCAAGCGUUAAUCGGAAUUACUGGGCGUAAAGCGUGCGUAGGCGGUUUUUUAAGUCAGAUGUGAAAUCCCCGGGCUCAACCUGGGAACUGCAUCUGAUACUGGAAGACUAGAGUGUGGGAGAGGAGAGUGGAAUUUCCGGUGUAGCGGUGAAAUGCAUAGAGAUCGGAAGGAACAUCAGUGGCGAAGGCGACUCUCUGGACCAACACUGACGCUGAGGCACGAAAGCGUGGGUAGCAGA
rnacentral:rRNA from 1 species